GACAGCCAAACAGGUCUGUAGAUAUCUGGAUCACUUUUGCUUUGUUUAGGAGCAUUUUUACUUUCUUUAGCACUGGCACAGGUUGCCAGUGGAUGCCCCAUCCCUAGAGGUGUUCAAGGCCAGCUUGCUUUGGGCAACCUGGUUUGGUGGGAGGUGUCCCUGCCCAUGGCAGGAAUUUGGAAUUAAAUGACCUUUUAGGUCCCUUCCAACCCAAACCAUUCUGUGAUUCUAUGACCCCUCAUUCUUUUUAUUUACUAUUUCUUCAAAGCAAGUCAGCUACAGCAAUUCUUGACCAACUGUCAGUCCACUAGCUGUUUACAGUUUAGGUUUAAUCACUUUUACCUAAUUCAUCUCUGCCCCUUCUUUUUACCCAGAAUGUCCUGCAACUAUUUUCAAACAUAAAAUACUUCCAAACACCCUCAGCUGCAAAGUCUACAUCUUCACAUCAACACACAACUCUCAAAUAGUGUGCAAAUUACUACCAAAUCAAGCAAAACCCACAUGGAUAAAUGAGUUUACCCUCUAGAAAACAUAAUUACCUCUUCAGCAGAAACUGGUUUCAUCUAAACAUCCUUAUUUACUGCUUUCUAUUCCUUUGUCACCUCAGUAACCACCAGCUGUUCAGCUUUUAAAGCUUUUCCCUCAGCUGGCUCUGCCCCAUUUACCCUCUGCAGUUAGCUCUGAGCUAUAAUCAAAAGUAGGAAGUCUUAUAAUGUCAGCUGCAAGGUUAUUAGUUUAUUCAUAACACAGCUCCCAGACGGGAACUAAAUUGCAAUGAAACCCACCAUCAUGCAACAAAUGAGCAAAUUCUCUUCACCCAGAGAAACCAGGAUGGCUAUUUCCUCAUUGGGAACAAGCCUCAGGCUCCCAGGCUCACUCACAGCUUGUCUGCUGCAUGCACUGACCCAGCGCAGGAAGCAGAAGGAGGCAACAAUCAGGCAGGUAUCUCUGAAAAGGAGCUAUGUAAACUUCAAACUUGUAUGCAUGAACUCCAUAUGGCUAGAGCUACCAGCUGCGUGCAGAUACGAAACCACCUCAGCACACCCGACAGAAGAGCCCUGUGUCAGACACAUCCGACGAGUCUGCCCUCGAGCAGCCCCCAAGGGAGCCACAAGCUGGUGGUCAGGCAGUUGCGUGGAGAGAAGGGCGGCUCAGCGCAUGCUAUCUUCAGCCACUUCAGAGACCAGUCUUUCCACAAAAUAAAAAAGAAUAUAGAUAUUUUAUAGAUUAAUAUAGAUCUUUAUGUUGAUAUGGGUAGAAAUACAGAUAUACAAUUCUAUAAUUAUAGAACUUCACUUCGAAGCUCUGUAUCUCAAUUCCUGCUACGUUCUUCCCAAAGUACUCAGAAAAUUCUUCCAAGUCUCGUAACUCCUGUGAUUUAUAGCUGUAUGUUUGCCCAUUCUCUCUUUAAGCAUCUGAACUCCAGACACAUGACUAAUGAAUUCUUUUCUAAUCUGUGUGCUAUAUUAGUUUGAAUAAUUAGUUAAACUGCUUAAGUAAUGCCAUUUUUGAAGUCUCAUAGCAUUACCAAAUAGAAAUUAAUGUUCUUUUUAACAAGAAAAGACAUUCAUUAGAACACUCGUAUGACACAUUCUCCUUUGCAAUUUGGGCAUUUUAACCUCUUCUAUACAGUGUGAUUCACUUUUUAACUUUUAGAUUUAAAAAGUUACAAGAUUUGUGUUCUAAACUGUAUUUUUCCAUUUUUCAUUUUAAAGUCAGUAAUGCUGUCUUUUACUAAAAUUAUAAUCAUAAUGUCUUUCAGUAGAUAGCAAACUUUGGCCUCAGAACAGUUUAUUAGAAAACUGCGAUUGAUAUCAAACUACCUGAAUUUAAAGAAUAUGCAAACUGAAUUGCUAGAUGUUAGGUCUCACAUACAGACUAAUCCAUCAAAACAUUCCUGAGGUGUCUAUAGCAAGCCAAGAGUUCAGAAUUUAUUGAAAGAAUCAUUUAAAAGUAUCACACUGCUUAUAUAAAAUGGAAGUUCAGUAAAAAGAUAGAGGAUGAAAAGAUGAAGGAUCUUCCAUCCUGCAUCUUGCACACAAUGUAAAACUAAUAUUUUCUUCCCAGUGUCCAAUAUGAUUACUGAUCCAAAGAUGCGUAUUUUCAAAAUUAACUUUUAUCAAACCAAUUAAAGACACCAUAAUAGAAAAUUUAAUGGUUUGCCCUCCCUCAAAAAACAUAACUUUUUUAGCUGUAAUAAAUAUAAAUUACAUAAUUUAUGACUUAAAAAG
rnacentral:lncRNA from 1 species